rnacentral:lncRNA from 10 species
AAAGUAUAUGCAUCAGGUAUGAGGAAGAAAAUAGAUUUUGGAAGUUAUGAGAAAUGUAGAGAGUGAGUUGAGCAUAGUUUGUGAUUUUUAGGGCCUCUAAAAGUAUUAAAGCAGCGGCAGCCGCUGCACACAGACAUGAGGGCUAGGCUAAAACAGUAAGGUCAAGUUGUUUGGACAGAAAGGCUACAGGGUGCAGUCCUGGCUCUUGUGUAAGAAUUCUGACCACACUAACCAUGCCUAGGAGGAAAGGCAUUGUUGUUUUGUAAGGGAUUGAGGUUUGGGAGAUUAAUCGGACAUGAUCAGCAGGGAGAGCAGGUCUCAUGGUGAAUUAAAGAUGGAUGCAAAGUUGCUGGCAUUCCUUCCAUCAAGAGGAAUCUAUAUCUACACGAUCUUUGACCAGUAGAAUACAAUGGCAGUGAUGGGUACCAAUUUUCUGAAUCUUGAGACACCUCUCUGGGAACUCUGGGAUGCUGUGGAUGAACUCCAACUACCCUGAAGCCAUGUCUUCUGGACAGGGAGAGUACAACGAGUCAGGAGGGCAAUGCUUCAUUCCCACAUCACAGGAGACAGGAUGAACAGUCAGGCAGAGAGAGAGAGAGCAUGGCAGCUAGAAGCAUAUAAAUGUGACUGUUGAACAACAUGGAUUUGAACUUCAAGGUUCCACUUAUACACAGAUUUUCUUCCAUUUAUGCCACCCCUGAGACAGCAAGAUCAACCCCCUCUUCCUCCUCCUCAGCCUACUCAACAGGAAGUUGGCUAGGAUGAAGACCUUUAUGUUAAUCCACUUCCACUUAAAGACUAGUAAAUGUUUUUCUCCUUCUUAUAAAUUUUCUUAAUAAUGCUUUCUUUUCUCUAGCUUACUUUCAAAGAAUAAAGUAUAUGAUACAUAUAAUAUACAAAAUAUGUGUUAAUUUACUGUUAAUAUUUGUUAUCUGUAAGGCUUCUGGUCAACAGUAGACUAUUAGCUUUAAGUUUUGG